ensembl:lncRNA
UGUUAACGUCUAGUGGCGUGUGAAGCGGUUGAAAUGUGUCAUUGAAGCAGUUUGAUACUAGCUUAUGUUAAUGUGCGUAACAUGCUACUGCUAGCUAACAUGCUACUGCUAGCUAACGAGCGGUAAACUCUAGUCAUUUAAUAGGCACAUUUCUCUCCGGUAGAAUAUCAAAUGAACAGCUAAAGUAAGUAUAGUAUGUUUCAAUGAAAUUUAAAUGCCCAAUGGUGGGUUAAAUAACGUUUUUUUAGAGCAAACGGUGGCCAGUUUUCUCACAAAAUGACAGCGCUACUGUCUGUGGUGGAGGAGGGGAGUGGCGGCGUAAUACGGUGUAGGUCAGGGGUUAGUUAGCAGUUGGGCGGUUACGGGGUUACACAAGUUAAAAAAUGGAUAAACUGAUAUCUAGAAUAGUGUGUACGUGGGUGUGACGGUAAACUGGUGUCGGUUAAACACGCGCGCCUGUCAUUGGACAAGUGAAACGGUGGCGGGUGGAUUAAAGUCUGGAGCCCACCACGAGUUUUUGUAGACCAGCAUUAGCCGCAAAAGCUGGGACAUUAGAAAUGCUGUGGUUAAGUGUCAGCUGUCAUCAGCAGGUCACUAAACUCUGCAUAUAGCCUCUGGUAGGCUUCUAGGCAUGGAUGGUUGAGUAGUUUUGAAGCUAAAUGUUAUAUUGAGCACGAAGAUUUUCAUAACUGUUUUGUCAUAGUGCAGGUCAUUGGGGAAAUUUAACUUUUUUUUAUUUUAUUAUAAUUUUGUUUGGAGGACAUUUUACUUUUUUUUUCUUGACCAUUUGGCUUGAUUUGAAGUUCACUUAACUUCUUGCACCUGUGAAAGCUAAACGGCUAGAUUUCUUUUCUUCAAGAUGCAGUUUCAAGAUGUCAUCAUGUUGCUGAAGGUGAAAUACCAGAGUACCAAAAAGUACAUCAGAUUACAGUCAGGUUUCACCUUUUUGGAUUUCAUCAAUGAAGUCAAAAACAAGUUUGGGCUUCCUGAUGACACUGAACUUGAUGUUUUUGAUGAAACCGACACAGCAGUGGAGGAAGACAUCUUUAUUGAACUGAUAGAGGCCAAUCCGGACUUAUGCCUGAAAGUACGUGACAGCAUUUCACAUGAAGCAAGUGUGUUUCAGAAGAUGAAGAUGACCUUGCAACAUCGCCAGGACCUAGUGCAUGAUCCACAGAGAACCACAGAUGUCUUUAAAACAUUCCCACGAUUUUUAGAUGUGAAAGGACUGCUGAAUCAAGACUCCCUGCUGCUGUUUGGAGCUGAAACAGCCUCCAAGAUGCUUGAGAAGUGGGACACAGUAUUCAGGCCCAAAGUUAUCAAAGAGGCCAAACACUUGACUCAGUCAACUGAGCUGUGCCGACUUCUGAAAGCUGCUGAGAAACUCACAGAGAACGAUGACACAAACUGGGACAGCGACGUGGCUUCUCUACUGCUCCUUCUCCAUCUCUUGCCACCCACAGCUGGACAGAAGAGGGCCAAGAUAACUUGCAGUAAUGCAGUGGACAAAAUGGUUCACUUUCACAAAUCAUGCUGCAGCAUCGAUGAACACCUGCGAGGAAGUGAGGGUAAACAACCAUAUAUCCUUGCUGCUGGCCGAACCCAGAACAGGAUUGACACUUUCUACAUUGUUGUGGACAAACAG